rnacentral:tRNA from 1 species
CCGGGAUAGCUCAGUUGGUAGAGCAGAGGACUGA